GAAAAAGUAGAUCAGUGGUAGAGCAUUUACCUACCAGGCAAAAGGUCCUGGGUUCAAUUCCCAGUACCA
rnacentral:tRNA from 1 species